GAUGAACGCUGGCGGCGUGCUUAACACAUGCAAGUCGAACGAAGCACUUUAUUUGAUUUCCUUCGGGACUGAUUAUUUUGUGACUGAGUGGCGGACGGGUGAGUAACGCGUGGGUAACCUGCCUUGUACAGGGGGAUAACAGUUGGAAACGGCUGCUAAUACCGCAUAAGCGCACGGCAUCGCAUGAUGCAGUGCGAAAAACUCCGGUGGUAUAAGAUGGACCCGCGUUGGAUUAGCUAGUUGGUGAGGUAACGGCCCACCAAGGCGACGAUCCAUAGCCGACCUGAGAGGGUGACCGGCCACAUUGGGGCUGAGACACGGCCCAAACUCCUACGGGAGGCAGCAGUGGGGAAUAUUGCACAAUGGGCGAAAGCCUGAUGCAGCGACGCCGCGUGAGCGAAGAAGUAUUUCGGUAUGUAAAGCUCUAUCAGCAGGGAAGAUAAUGACGGUACCUGACUAAGAAGCACCGGCUAAAUACGUG
rnacentral:rRNA from 1 species